rnacentral:rRNA from 1 species
UGGGGGAUAUUGCGCAAUGGGGGCAACCCUGACGCAGCAACGCCGCGUGAAGGAUGAAGGUUUUCGGAUUGUAAACUUCUUUUAUUAAGGACGAAACUUGACGGUACUUAAUGAAUAAGCUCCGGCUAACUACGUGCCAGCAGCCGCGGUAAUACGUAGGGAGCAAGCGUUGUCCGGAUUUACUGGGUGUAAAGGGUGCGUAGGCGGCUUUGCAAGUCAGAUGUGAAAUCUAUGGGCUCAACCCAUAAACUGCAUUUGAAACUGUAGAGCUUGAGUGAAGUAGAGGCAGGCGGAAUUCCCCGUGUAGCGGUGAAAUGCGUAGAGAUGGGGAGGAACACCAGUGGCGAAGGCGGCCUGCUGGGCUUUAACUGACGCUGAGGCACGAAAGCGUGGGUAGCAAACAGGAUUAGAUACCCUGGUAGUCCACGCUGUAAACGAUGAUUACUAGGUGUGGGGGGUCUGACCCCUUCCGUGCCGGAGUUAACACAAUAAGUAAUCCACCUGGGGAGUACGGCCGCAAGGUUGAAACUCAAAGGAAUUGACGGGGGCCCGCACAAGCAGUGGAGUAUGUGGUUUAAUUCGAAGCAACGCGAAGAACCUUACCAGGUCUUGACAUCCAACUAACGAAGUAGAGAUACAUUAGGUGCCCUUCGGGGAAAGUUGAGACAGGUGGUGCAUGGUUGUCGUCAGCUCGUGUCGUGAGAUGUUGGGUUAAGUCCCGCAACGAGCGCAACCCUUGCUAUUAGUUGCUACGCAAGAGCACUCUAAUAGGACUGCCGUUGACAAAACGGAGGAAGGUGGGGACGACGUCAAAUCAUCAUGCCCCUUAUGACCUGGGCUACACACGUACUACAAUGGAUGUUAACAGAGGGAAGCAAGACAGCGAUGUGGAGCAAACCCCUAAAAACAUUCUCAGUUCAGAUUGCAGGCUGCAACCCGCCUGCAUGAAGAUGGAAUUGCUAGUAAUCGCGGAUCAGCAUGCCGCGGCGAAUACGUUCCC